UACGUAUGGUGCGAACGUUGUUCGGAAUCACUGGGCAUAAAGAGCACGUAGGCGGUUAAGCAAGUCCAUUGUGAAAUCCCCCGGCCUAACCGGGGAACUGCAUUGGAUACUACUUGACUUGAGUGCAGGAGGGGAGAGUGGAAUUCCAGGUGGAGCGGUGAAAUGCGUAGAUAUCUGGAGGAACGCCGGCGGCGAUAGCGACUCUCUGGUCUGUAACUGACGCUGAGGUGCGAAAGCUAGGGGAGCAAACGGG
rnacentral:rRNA from 1 species